rnacentral:rRNA from 1 species
AUACGAGUGGUGCAAGCGUUAUUCGGAAUAAUUGGGCGUACAGGGUGCGUAGACGGUAUGUUAAGUCUGCUGUUAAAUCCUCCGGCUUAACCGGAGAUCUGCGGUGGAAACUGGCAUACUAGAGGGUGGAAGAGAGAAGUGGAAUUCUCGGUGUAGCGGUAAAAUGCGUAGAUAUCGAGAGGAACACCGAUGGCGAAGGCAGCUUCUUGGUCCAUUCCUGACGUUGAGGCACGAAAGCGUGGGGAGC